GCACCUCUUUUUACACUAUUUCGGAAACCCAAGGACUCAAUCGUAUGGAUAUGUAAAAUACAGGAUUUCCAAUCCUAGCAGGAAAGGGAGGGAAACGGAUACUCAAUUUAAAGUGAGUAAACAGAAUUCCAUACUCGAUCUCAUAGAUACAUAUAGAAUUCUGAGUGAGUGAGAGAGAGAGAGAG